rnacentral:misc_RNA from 1 species
AAGUCGUAACAAGGUAACCGUAGGUGAACCUGCGGUUGGAUCAUUACCGAUUUAAGCUAUCUUGAAAAGAUUCCUUGUGCAAGCGAGUCGAGUCUUUUCGAGUUAGCCUUGACCUUUGUGCACUGUUGCUUUAAUUUUGGCGAUAAAGGUUACUGCUUUCGGGUAGUUUCUAGAGUCGCCAGAAAUUGAUUAAACACCUUUUAAUUUAAAGCUGAAUUUAUAAAUUAAUUAUAAACAACUUUUGACAACGGAUCUCUUGGCUCUC